GUGUGCCUUUGAUGUUCAUGUUUAAUUUAUGGAGAAACUCUGACCUAAUUUUAUCUCUCAAGAUCAGCCCUUAAAAUCUCACAUGCCCACCUCUUCUGCAACAGUCCCUGUCCCUAGAGGACUUGAAUAGUUUUCAUUCUGGCCUCCUGUCUCAUGAGUGCAGUUUAUUUUGAUUGUCAUCUUCUCCUGGAUAUAAAGAAAUCCUGGUGAUUUUUAUUUUCCACCUCAAUUUUCAUGAUCACCAUUAUUCUACUUAAACAAAGAAGCUGGCAAAUCCAAAAUUUGCAGUUCAAGUCCAGAGGUCAUCAGGCUGGAGGUCCAGGAAACAACCAGUGUUGCAGCUCAAGUCUGAAGCCUCUCUGCUGACAGGCUUCUUCUUGCUCAGAGUAGUUUGUCAUAAUUGACGGCUUUAUAUGCAGCCUUCUGAAGCCCUUUAACUAGGCAAGAGAUCAUGUAGUCCCGCCUGGCUAUGCCUGGGUCCCAGGGCCUGGCUUCAAAAUGGUGAGAAGAUAAUGAGAAAAGGAAAGAAUCUAUGGAUAAGAAAUAAAUAGGAAACCCUGCCAUGUUGAAAGGAAUACAACCCAACAUGGAGUAGAAACAAGAAAUCAAGAUAUACACUCUAGGACAAGGAGCAAUAAGAAUUUGACUUAAAAUGGUUAUUUAGCAUGUAUUAGAGUUGCAACUGGAUUUUAUGUAGUUAUGAGGGAACCCUGAAAAAAGUACCAUUGAACAGAAAUGAGAUUUGGUUUCAGAACUUCAGCCCAAAUGCUAUUAAAUCUUUUGCAUUUCUUGAACUAUACCCCUUGUGUCUUUGUCAUAAUUUUCCAGAGGUCUUCUCAGUCAAUAUGGGUUCAGUUUACAUAAUCCUGUCAACUGAAUAAAGUAAAUAUGUAUUAGGCUUCUGAGUAAAGUGUAAUCAUAAGCAUUGCAUUGAUAUAAGAUAUAUAAACUCAAGGAUAUAAAGAAACAAUUUUUUUGUUCGUUUUGUUUUGGUUUUGUUUUAAGUCAAAGGAAAGGUGUGGUUCAGGAGUGAUAAAUUGCAGCCUGGUGAUCAAGAAGAUUUAAAAUUUAUCUCAACUUUACUAAAGUCUUCCUGACUAUAGGCCCCUGACCAAUCUUUUCUUGGAGCACUUACUUCAGAAAAAUUGCAAAUGUUAAUUUUUUAUUUGCUGAUGAUGUAAUAUCUGUCUCAAGUAUCUGGGAAUCAUCAAUUUGAAAAGUAAUAGGAAAGAAAGAACCCUUGUCUCCUAGUUUCAGUGAAAUGAUAGGAGUUGUAGAUAAAUACCAACUAGCAACACAAAUGGCCUAAUAACAUUGCACAACCUAUUUGAUAACAUCAUUGUCUUCCAGUACUUUUCCAGUAGCUUCCCCUGGUGCUUAAGAAUUUACCCAACUUCUGUUUGAGUGGAGUGGAGUCAUUCUUUCUCCUUCACAAUAGUGUUGAAUAAA
rnacentral:lncRNA from 10 species